rnacentral:rRNA from 1 species
AUUGAACGCUGGCGGCAGGCCUAACACAUGCAAGUCGAGCGGAGCGGCGGACGGGUGCGUAAUGCCUAGGAAUCUGCCUGGUAGUGGGGGAUAACGUCCGGAAACGGGCGCUAAUACCGCAUACUAUCAGAUGAGCUUAGGUCGGAUUAGCAAGUUGGUGGGGUAAAGGCCUAACAAGGCGACGAUCCGUAACUGGUCUGAGAGGAUGAUCAGUCAAGUGGUAACUGAGACACGGUCCAGACGCCUACGGGAGGCAGCAGGGGGGAAGUUUGGACAAUGAGCGAAAGCCUGAUCCAGCCAGGCCGGGUGUGUGAAGAAGGUCUUCGGAUUGUAAAGCACUUUAAGUUGGGAGGCGUUACCAACAGAAUAAGCACCGGCUAACUUCGUGCCAGCAGCCGCGGUAAUAC